AUUCUGCCCAUGCGGGGAAGGAUGAGAAGCUUCGACCAAGGUUCGACUCGAGUGCCAGCGAGAGAGCGUUGCCGCAGGCAACGACCCGUAGGGCGAAGCGCGCAGCGCUGAGUAAUCCUUCCCCCACCACCA
rnacentral:sRNA from 18 species